GCCAGGUGCACAAGAAGCUGGGAGAGCACAGCCAGGACAGCUGACCCAGACUGGCCAAAGGGAUAUUCCAUACCAUGCUCCGUAUAGAACUGGGGAAGCGAGCCAGGAGGCAGGAUCACUGCUUGGAAACAGACUGGGCAUCAGAGAGUUUUCCCCACAGAACCUCUCUGGUGAGGUCGGAUGAAUUCUGAGCAGAGGGAGCUGGUGGGAGCAGACCUUUGUGCAUGUCCCGUGGUAGCCAGUCACUCUGCAUAGCCCUGACACUGCUGGAAUGGCUACGUCUGGGUUACAGCUCAUGGGCAUUGCUGCUGAAUAAAGGUAAAAGAUUUUUAGAUAGUUUUCUUUCAAGAGAAGACAGCAAAUUAACCUGCCUGUACAUUGUUCAAAGACUAAUCUGAAUGUGAAAUAUCAAUUUCUAUGUUUUCCAGCAGACCCUGUUCAAACAAAAGAUUGUUGCAGUUAAGAGCACUUGAUCCCUCACCGAGUCAGAAGUCACCGCGUCUUUGCUCUUUGGCCUCGUUUUAUGGUAACCGCAAGAAAAAAGCCAUUAAACCAUUUCACUGUUCCCAGCGUUUACGUCCCUGCCCCUGCCCUUUGGUGCCCAUGGAUCCACCGCACGCGCAGAACCGCCGUAUGCGGGGCAGUGCUACGAUGGAUGCUACCUGAGGAGCACGUUGUACCAGUCCUUCCAGCUCAGCACAGUGUGUUGGCUAAUUCCCAGUACUGAAAUUGCAGUAUUAAAUGUAAAUUACAACAGUAAUAAAUGAGCUUUAUCCACCAAAUCCCCAACAUUUUAUAUUUUGCUCUGGAAAGCCUUCUGUGAGCUCUAUUACAGCUGUUAGCACUUGUUUUAAUUAAACUUAUAGCACAGCAUGCUGCUCAGUUAACCAGUUUUCAGUUUUCAGAGAAAAUCAGCAAGCAGCUCCAAUUGCAUUUUUCUGUCAUUCUUCACAUGCUGUGCUUUAGCAUACGUUAUAAAAAUGUUGAUAGAGGAUUAUACAUCUCCAGGGAGGAUAAUGGCAAUGCGAAACUUCUUACUUCUAGGCUAUUUUUUCCGAUUUAGUAUAGGUUCUUACAUUCUAUGAAAAUAUUUGGUGUUUAGCUGCAGCUUGGAUGCCUGCAUUCAAGGACACAGGUGGUGUCAGCAUCCAGGACAGAGGAUUAUAAGCCCACCUCACCAUGGUUAGGUCCCUCAUUGUCAGUGUCAGCAAAAAAGUAAUUGGUUUGUAGGGCUGAAGAACGCUUGCUGCCUUCAACUACGACUAAAUCAUGUCUGUAUCAGAAAAUAAUUGGAUGGGUGUUCCAUGUACGGUGCCUCUCCUGAGGUUUUUUUGUGACUUUAAUUUCCAGGGCUAUCAGCCCAAAAGUGUUGUAUUAGAAAAACAGGAAAAGAAGAAUCUGGUUUUAGAGAAUGCAGUGGCACAGCCUUUUGUUGCAGCGGUUUGAAGUGUCUCUCCAUUGACAUCUAGUGUCCGUACAGACAGAUCUUUAGAUUCCUCGCAGCCGUGCUGGCAAUAUUUAUCUCUAAAUCUUUAAAGGUUUUUUCCAUGCAUAGUUAUUAAGAUCUCUUAUUGAUAAUACCAGGCCAGCCAGUAGGUGAGGCUGAUGGCGAAAACACAGGGAUCUCCCUACACUUACUGUUUUGUGAUAUGCAGCGGUAUCUGUAGAUUUCAGUGUUCCAAAUGGCUCCAGAAACCCUUCCAAUGCCUUGCGGUUCAAAAAUAUUAACCUUUUUUCAAGUCAUCCUGUGAACACCUGCAAAAUAUUUUCAAUCUCUAUUACCUUUCCUCAGAGCAUACAAGCAAUUGUGAACCAAUAAAUAUUCAAUAAAUAUUCAAAUAGUAUGAAGGAUUGUACUUCUGCAGUCAGGCAUUAUUCUAAUUUUCUUUAAUUAUGCAACAGUAUUUUUUAAUAACAGAAGCCUCUUUAUUACAAUCCGUUAUAUCACUAAAAGCUAUUUAAUAAAGAACUGUUUUUAUCUACUUUUACAGUGAUGACGAGUUAUUUUCAUAUUUAUUUAUUUAUACUGUAGAAAUUCCAAGUUUACAAAAGAUUUGAUGUUUUGCUUUUGCAAAAUCUUGAACAGUGGCAGUUCAUCAUGUCGUUACUGUACACUUUGCUCCGUAAGCAACUCCACCUUUGCAGUGCUUCCUCCUGCUCCUUCAGUCGGCCUUACGAGCUUAUGCUGGGGCAGUGCACACAGGAGCUGUGCUAGAAACACAACCCCACCAUGCUAGAUCCUAGCAUGAAGUGGAAAAGUCCUUCCGUACACAGGAAGCUCCCCGUAGGUUCAUAUUUUGAGCAUUUCCAUGGAUAGAAUCUGUUUUCAAAGGGAGUUAUUU